rnacentral:rRNA from 1 species
UACGGGGGGGGUAAGCGUUGUUCGGAAUUACUGGGCGUAAAGGGCUCGUAGGCGGCCAACUAAGUCAGACGUGAAAUCCCUCAGCUUAACUGGGGAACUGCGUCUGAUACUGGAUGGCUUGGAUUCGGGAGAGGAAUGCGGAAUUCCAGGUGUAGCGGUGAAAUGCGUGGAUAUCUGGAGGAACACCGGUGGCGAAGGCGGCAUUCUGGACCGACAUUGACGCUGAGGAGCGAAAGCCAGGGGAGCAAACGGG